UUUCCUCGCACAAUCAUCAGAUCUCAGUUCACGUUUACGUCUUGAUUUCAACUGCAUACUGCCUUCUGCGAGUAUACAAACGAGUUUCAAAGUUCAGACGUAAAUCUACGUUUAAGACGUAAAUCUGCGUUUAGACGUAAAUCUGCGUCUAGACGUAAAUCUGCGUUUAGACGUAAAUCUGUUUUUUGCAGAUUACUUUUUGAGCUGUACAACAG
rnacentral:lncRNA from 1 species